UACGAAGGGAGCUAGCGUUGUUCGGAAUCACUGGGCGUAAAGCGCACGUAGGCGGAUUUGUCAGUCAGGGGUGAAAUCCCGGGGCUCAACCUCGGAACUGCCUCUGAUACAGCAAGUCUUGAGUCCGGAAGAGGUGGGUGGAAUUCCUAGUGUAGAGGUGAAAUUCGUAGAUAUUAGGAAGAACACCGGUGGCGAAGGCGGCCCACUGGUCCGGUACUGACGCUGAGACGCGAAAGCGUGGGGAGCGAACAGG
rnacentral:rRNA from 1 species